UCCUUAUGCAAAAGUUUCCCC
rnacentral:piRNA from 1 species